CGUUCAGUCGCGCAUGCGCAACAUCCUAUUAGGUUCUGUACUGGAAUUAGUUCACCUGUUUUAGAGUCGUUCGUUCACCUUAUGGGGCUGUCACGUGAUGAACGAACGAUUCAAACCCGAAGACUCAAAAGAUGAACUAAUCAAUUCUCCUUCCGGCUCAGGCUGCAUAGGUUAACAUUACAGGGCUGUCACGUGAUGAACGAACGACUCAAACCCGAAGACUCAUAAGAUGAACUAAUCAAUUCUCUUUCCGGCUCAGGCUGCAUAGGUUAACAUUACAGGGCUGUCACGUGAUGAACGAACGACUCAAACCCGAAGACUCAUAAGAUGAACUAAUCAAUUCUCUUUCCGGCUCAGGCUGCAUAGGUUAACAUUACAGGGCUGUCACGUGAUGAACGAACGACUCAAACCCGAAGACUCAUAAGAUGAACUAAUCAAUUCUCCUUCCGGCUCAGGCUGCAUAGGUUAACAUUACAGGGCUGUCACGUGAUGAACGAACGACUCAAACCCGAAGACUCAUAAGAUGAACUAAUCAAUUCUCUUUCCGGCUCAGGCUGCAUAGGUUAACAUUACAGGGCUGUCACGUGAUGAACGAACGACUCAAACCCGAGGACUCGAGAGAUGAACUAAUCAAUUCUCUUUCCGGCUCAGACUGCGUUGGUUAGCUAAUUGGGCUGUCACGUGAUGAACGAACAACUCAAACCCGAAAACUUGUCAGAUAAGAGGCGAGGUGAGCGAAUCAUAGACUAAAGACCCAGGUAAACAAUGAAUGAAUCUUUUCUGUUUCUUAUAGCAUUAUAGUUUUGUUUUGUUUGUAGUGUGAUCAACGUUUGUGUAAGCAGUAGAUGUGUUAGGGAGGUAAAACGUAACAUUUUAAUUAUAUUUUGCUAAAAUGAACGAAAUGAACGAAAUGACUCGAAAAAAGAUUCGUUCAUUUUGCUGAACGAGACUCAAAGGACCGAGUCGGUAAAAUGAUCCGAACUUCCCAUCACUAAUUCCGUGUACUGAUUCAUUGCUGCUCCCCGUGUUAGAAUAAUUCGCUUAUAAAACGUUUGCAAUAUUACAGUUUGAUUUCUUCAGUCAGUCUUUGGCAGUGCUUAUCUUAGUAAGUAAAUUAUGUGCGUUAAAUGUAAAUCCAUGAUCAUCUUUUAUUUAUAUUUACAUUUUAAAAAAUAUUAUAUAAUAUACAGUAGUCAACACUUGAAGUGGAUCAAAAAAGUUCAUCAAAGUCCUAAGACAAGAACGGGUAUUGUUUUGGUUUUAGGAGAAUUUUGAUGAAAGGUAUUAUAUAUGAAGAGUUCAGAUGCAAAACCAGCUAAAUCCAUCUGACGUUUUUCUUUAAAAUGAGCAUUUCUUUCUGGCUACUUUGUAUAGGUUUCUAUGUAAGUACUGGCACUUCUGAUUGGGCUGAGGCUGGAAUUUAGCGAGUUUAAAGUAAAAGUAUUUGAUGGAUGUAUAAUAUGUGUCAGGAGCAUUCACUCACUAUCAUUAUCUCAUUUUUGACCGAGAUGGCUUUUAGCCGGUUUUGCAUCUGAACUCUUCAUAUAUAUAUAUGUGUGUGUGUGUGUGUGUGUAUGUAUAUAUAUAUAUGUAUAUAGUCCAGUAGCUCAGUGUUGCAGUUUCAUGCCUGUUGUACUGACUUGAGCAUCAGAUCCUUCUGAAAUGAGUAAGAAGAGCCCUCUCUGUGGCUGAUGAUGUGUGUGUGUUUAAUAAAUCUGUGCUUCAUCUCCGCUGGAUGCUUGGAGUUAAUGAAGUACAUUUACCUAAUACGGUUAGGGUUUUUUAUGUUUACAGUCACACACAGUUUAUUAUAACAAAGUCACAAGUAAGAAGUGCUGAUAUCGGAUGGGCUGAGAGGUUUACUCUUGAAUUAGGCCGUCCAUUUUCUCGUUUGACCCAUUCGGGUAGAUUUGCAGACGGUUACAAGCACGAGAGCCAAUCACAGUGGGACGGAGGAACUGCCUCACCCCUCAUUAACUUCCACCAAUUUAUUUCCUGAUUCCUCAAAGAAAAGGCCUCCGUAUGCCGUCCGCAGUGUGCAAAUCUCCUGUUUGGAUGGGGCAGCUGUUCGAUCUACGUGCAUUACGUGUGGGAUACCGUAUCCCAUAAUGCAAAGCGCCUGGCUUGACCUUCCAUUUCUAGUGUGACGAAUGAACAUGCUGUAGUGUGCAGUGCGCCAGUGUUCCCUUCGAUCACAUGCUCCGCUGCUGGAGGACGGUGACAUUAACCGCAGCGCGGCGGUGGGCGAGUCCGUCGUCAGAUGAAAGAGCCGUCUGUCUCACUGAAGACUUCAUGUCUGCCGGGUCCCGUCCACAACAUUCUGUGACGCUUCUGGAAUUCGUAUUGAUCGUGGAGACACUUAGACACUGAAAUCUGGCCCCCCGGGUCAGUGCAGAACAACAUCUCUGAUCUUUUUAUGCUGGAUAAAAGACCACAAAGAAGCGUUUGAGAGGAAAAAAAACUUUCUUUUUGUGUUCCGCAGAUAGAAAGAAAGCCAUACAGGUCUGAAAUAACAUGAGGAUGAAGUGGGUGAACGUUGGGUGAAGUAGUACCUAUUAUUAGUAUUACAAUAUAUGCUUUUGGAAAGCAGUAGUGCUGUUUAUGUCAAGCCAGAAUUUGAAUGCAUUUUGGCAGAGUUUUUCUAAAAUCUUUUCCCUUUAUUCAGAAGUAUAUGUGCCAACAUCUGGCAACUCCACCGACUGUCACUGAUAGAAAGGUGAUUGUGCUUGAAUUAGAGUCUUGAGGAGCGCUGGAGACGUGUUGAAUCACUGCUCUGGUGUGAAGCUGAAGCGAGGAGGUGAAACAUCUGUGUUUGAGAUGUGAGAGUCGUGUGGAGUCGAUGAGAAAAUGGUGAAGGCACCUGACGUUUGCCAAGUCAAUCUAACCCGCCUCACGAAGCCGUUUCCCCACAGAUCCGGGCCAGAAUGAUAAACUACCGUGCAUAAACAAAAUUCCUCUUCUUGCGUGUCUCAAAUAAAAAGCUUGUUAAUUUACCGUUUGCACUUCUGCAGAGUUGGAAAAAACAACAUCUGGUUUGUGACCAACAAAAACAUGAGGUCACUUGUAAGGGAUCGGUGUUUCAGCUGACUAGUUUAGAGCUGGCGACGAAGGGCCCCCAAAACCCCCCGCGAUUCCCGCGUGAGUCAUACGUGAGUCAGGCCAAACGGAGCGGGUGGAGAUUGUCGCGUACGAUCGCGCACGCUGGACUGAACACCGAACAACAAGGCCCAUCCAAGUAAAAGCAAAGAGUGUCACUCAUUCAGAUGUUCUCCAAGCAAAUUCCACAGGGAUUUGUGUUUCUGCCAACAGCGGCUCUGCAGCUUCUCCAGCCAGCCCAUGAACGCAGGAGAGUCAAACGCCGACAAAACGCGCCCCUGUGCUCGGUUCUUUUGUAUUUUUAUCCAACUUUUGAUUUUUCAUCUGUAUUUGAUUUUGUAAUGAACAGUCCAAACAGUCCAGAGCUGCGUUUCCCAAAAGACUGACCCUCACCUACAGAUUGAGAACUUAUUUGUUUUUACAGCAUAUGGUUAGAAACGAAUGACUCGAUUUCUUUUUUUUUUUUUUUUUAUAAAUUAACCUCAAACAGGUUUGUUGAAUUAAGCUCUCAUGGGGCAUUUUUGCAUUCUUUUCAAGGUCGAUGAGUAAGUCUGUGAAGACUUGAGAGGCACGUUGAGGGUUUGGGUUUUUCUAAAGCAUGAUCAGGGACAAAUAGCAGUUUAGCAUGUCAGAGAUGUGGGUUAGGGUUAGGGUUAGGGCUAAUGCUAACGUUGUGCAGCGUUUGUUAAACUAGUGGAGGCUCACGGACCUUUUAACGUCCUUGAUGAAAGAGCUCAUUAAGUCACGCGGUCAAAGUCACGGUUUUAUUUCAGGGAACGUGUAUGAAAUGGUAGGAAUUUGAUACGAAAAUCUGUUUGUUUGCAUCGAAAUGUUUUUGUGUUCCUCUCUGUAGAACCGCCAUGCAAGGCUUACAGUCGCUAAUGUCUGUUUGUUUUUUAGCUGUAUGUAGAUGCACUAGCAUGUUAUGAUUGAUUAGAGGUGUUAACUACUAAUCACUAGUACUAGUGUGUGUGAUCAUGUGUGUUGUUGAGGAGAAUGUGCUGCUACUGCAUUGAUCAGAUGCACCGUUUCAUCUGUUGGAGCAGAAAACAGCUGAGAAACCCCACAGACACACAUCUACAGACCAGAGCUCGAUUCAAGAAUACAUCAAGAACGCUUUAUUACCGUAGCACUAGCAUUGUGGCGUCGUCGUGCUCAAACAAACACCUCUCACAUGUUCCCCAGAAAGAGUCAGAAUGGAGUUUGUUCUCGUUGCUGUGAGCUUUGAGUCCUCUGACGGACGACUGUGUUUUCCUCGCCGGUCAUGAGGACAAGAAAUCAAAUCUCACAUAAUUAGAUCAAAACACACAACAUAACUGGUCUAAUUGCUGCUGGAUGAAGCUCCGUGUUUCUGUUUCAAGUGAACGCAAAGUGCUCGCUAUAAACACCGUUUGACAAACCGUUCAUGUUGUUUGAUUUGGAUUGUCAGCAGUAACGCACCUGAAAAACAUGCCU